UACAGAGGUCCCGAGCGUUGUUCGGAUUCAUUGGGCGUAAAGGGUGCGUAGGCGGCGGGGUAAGUCUGAUGUGAAAUCCCGGGGCUCAACCCCGGAACUGCAUUGGAUACUGCCUUGCUAGAGUACUGGAGAGGGAACUGGAAUUUACGGUGUAGCAGUGAAAUGCGUAGAGAUCGUAAGGAAGGCCAGUGGCGAAGGCGAGUUCCUGGACAGUAACUGACGCUGAGGAGCGAAAGCCAGGGGAGCAAACGGG
rnacentral:rRNA from 1 species